GAAGAAGAAGAAGAAAGCCUCCCAGCCUACCAUGACUUAGAGAUGGAGGUUUUCAUCUUUACUUGAUGUGACCAGUGAAGGCUACAGACAGAUACAUUCUGCACUCCUGUUCCAGACACUCAAGCUCAUUACCUAGGGCUAUGCCUGCAGCUUUACCACAGAGCUGCUUCAGCUGCUCUGCUCUAGCCCUCAUCUGGACUUUCAUUUGAGAAGGUCCCUUGGCUCUAUGGCAUGGAAGAGAUUUCUACCUGCUUCAGUUUUAGCAUUGAUUGUAUAUUGGAACAAUUCUCCUUACUGUUAUACUGGUUUUUGGAAGGUAGAGAUCUACAAUUUUCAGGACUUCUUGUGUGACUGUAUCUGAAUCCCCCAUCUCUCUGUGCCCAACCUGGAGUCCAUUUGCUCUGAUGGGACUACGUACUACCACUCCACACUGCAGUACUGGGAGCAAUGAGGCCAGUGAAGGAUCUCAGCAAGGAAAUCCAUGUACUUUCCCCUCCUUCCAAGAUGUCACACAGCUGGACCAACAGCAGGCAAGGUGAUCUUAAGUCAAUGGAAAAACAAUGCUAUGUGGUAAAUAUGAAUAAUGAACCAGAAAUCUUUCUCCUCCAUUGGCCCCCAUAGAAAGGAGAUGACAGCUGCUUGUGAGAAGUCACCAAUGAGCCCUCUGACAGGAGGAGGAGGCAUGGGGAAAUGUCCGAUUUUCCUCCAAAUGAGUCCAUGGCUGGACUGUAAGCAUCUGAGAGAAUGAUAUACUCAUGGCACUGUCUGCCCUGCGUAAAGAUUCUCCUAGCUCUGUGUAAACAGCUGAAGACAAGAUACUAAUGAGACAAGGCAAUUUAUAACCUUUUCUCUCUCACUGGAUCUAAAGCCACUGCCUUUUGAGAGGUCUCAAAAGUUUCAUGUUCUGUAAUUUACAUAUUGCUGCAAGGAUUGGGGUGAGAAUAGGUCUUGGUGACAGCUCUACCAGGUCAAUGACAAGUCACUGCCUUUGGCAGCACAUCAGAGAAGGCAGAAAAGAGUUAUUUUCCCUUUACAAUAUUUUCCUGUUAAUUUUUAAAGAGCAAACCAGUGGCUUAGAUAACUAUUACUGUUUAAGCCUCUUAAUGCAAAGAAAACCAACAGAUUUUUAAAACAUUGGCAGCAAUAGCAAAGUUGUCAUCAGAUCAGUCAGGAGAUGAAGAGACCAUGCUCUGUUUUGUAAAUACACUGCAUCUCUCUUAAAUGCUCCAGUGUGCAGGCCUGGUGAGGAGGUUGGCUCAUGGAUAUCUGAGCAGAAGGGUGCUAAUUGUUUUAAUGCCUAUACACAAGACCAUAACUCAAACUGAACUCCUGCUAAUUUGGGGGAGAAACAGUAAAGCUUGUAUCACUGCAAGCAGUUAUGCAGCACCAACAUUUGCCUGUGGUCUUCAUGAUUAGGUUUCUGCAGUGACAAAUGUUUGCCCAGAGUCAUCUAGUAGGAGACCACAGAGAUAUUCACGAGCUCUGGCUUUAUUUAAUUUCUGUAUCAAAAUACAUAAAACCCACGUCAAUGCAGCAGCAGCACCUGCAGUGCCCAGGCUACCAAGCCAUGCAUUUCCCCUGGGUAAUACCUUACCUUUACCAUAUAUUUCUCCUGGGGUCUGGCAAGGUAAGAGUGGGAGGGGAUGCUGCUUACCCCAAAAAAGGUACCAGUCCCCUGAAAUAAGUGCUCAUGUUCCCUGGUGUGCUUGUAUCCAACAGAGGGUCUUUCACAGCUUUCAGCACUGAUACCAUCUGCCUAAAAGAUGCUGCUUGGAGUGAUCCCGUAAGAGAGAAGCCCCCUGAAUCUGCUUUGGUGCCUUGUUGGGAAGCCUGCCAGCAGCAUGCCUGGAGUGGUGGCUGGGAUGUGUCAUGCAGCACUGUCCAGCCUGUAGCUCAUUUACUUUGGAGGCCACUGAGCUGUCUUUACUGAAGUCUCCUUGCUAUCUUUCACAGCAAUUUUUAGCUCUCUGUGUGCUUGCCUUUUAAAGGCAGAGCUCUGAUAUUCCUUUAUGAAUAUGUACUUAUUUGCUUAUUUGAAAGACUGAUUUUAGAACUGCAGAGUCUUUCCCGCUAAAAGAAUAUGAGUUAUUUGGUCAGUGGGAGCAGGUACUUCUAAUUCAGGUGGAACAUAAAGGGAUAUGUUUAAGAAUAUGACUCUUAGGUGACAUCACCUGGCAUAAUUGUGUUUCAACUUCUUUUUCCCCUCUGAGUAACAAGGUCCUGAUUUUGCUCCAAUAAGAGGAGUGCUGUUGAUUUUACCAGCCACAGUGUCAAGGUCCAGGUAUGCUGUUAUGUUUCAAUCAUUCAUUGAAAGGAAGGUCAAAGUCUUUUAAGUUUGGGUUUGCUUUUUCUAGGCUAAAAACCGUGCUGCAUAAAGAACUUAUCACCUGAAGGAUAUCUGGGUUAAGUCUUGUAACAGGUUAACUGGGACUAAGUAGCCACAGACAGAGAAGUUAAGGUAGAAGUUAAUGGUAAUUUGAAAAUUAUUCUUAUUAAAAAUUCACUUCUGUAUAUUGGUGUACUUGCUGCAGCCUGAUAAAGGAAUUGGAAACCACAACAUCUGUUUUGACUUAAAGCUCUCAGAAGAGCAUUUUAGAUCAUAUGGUGAAGGAUCUUACAUCCCAAAUGGCACCUUCCACCUCUGCUGUCCCAUACAAAGGUCUAGAGAAGAAGUAAUGGGAAUAUCUGUCUGUAGACAACUCUCCCUGGCACAUUGAUCCUGGCAGCACUGAUGUAGGUAAGCAGACAGCAGGUGGGAUGGUGUCAGAUAAGGUUGUUCAAAAUCCUACUGUUAAUGGCAGAGGCUGGUUGCUACAAACCCUUAUAAAGACUGGGACAACAGUACAUGAUGCUGCCACCAUCAUCUGCAAGAUGGCAUUGGAAUUUCACAUUUGACAUCCAGCAGGGCUAUGUCCAAGAUAAAACAAAUGGAGUCUUCGAGCAAGAAAAUGCAGGGAGAAAAAACAAACUAACAACAACGACAAAAAGAGCCUAUGGUCUCUUGUUAAAAGGAUGACUGUUAUAAAGGAAAGUUAAUUUUAUUCCCUUAGGCUUUCUGUGCUUCACCACCCUCUGAGAAUGUUUUGAGAUUGUAUUUAGUUUAUUUAUCUCAUGAUUAAAUGAAUGUCAUCUGCUGUCACUCCUAAUGCAAACAACUUAUUUUUUUCAUUAUUUUUCCUGAUACAGACAAAUUGAAAGUCAGGCAGAAUGUCCUUUACUUUCAUGUUACAACCUAUUCUAAUAAAAGAUGACUUUCUGGAA